UGGCGGCGUGCCUAAUACAUGCAAGUCGAACGCUUUGUCUUUAAUUGAUCUGACGAGCUUGCUCUGAUGUGAUUUUAUCUGACAAAGAGUGGCGAACGGGUGAGUAACACGUGGGUAACCUACCUCUUAGCAGGGGAUAACAUUUGGAAACAAGUGCUAAUACCGUAUAAUACCAACAACCGCAUGGUUGUUGGUUGAAAGAUGGUUCUGCUAUCACUAAGAGAUGGACCCGCGGUGCAUUAGCUAGUUGGUAAGGUAACGGCUUACCAAGGCAAUGAUGCAUAGCCGAGUUGAGAGACUGAUCGGCCACAAUGGGACUGAGACACGGCCCAUACUCCUACGGGAGGCAGCAGUAGGGAAUCUUCCACAAUGGGCGCAAGCCUGAUGGAGCAACGCCGCGUGUGUGAUGAAGGGUUUCGGCUCGUAAAACACUGUUAUAAGAGAAGAACGGCACUGAGAGUAACUGUUCAGUGUGUGACGGUAUCUUACCAGAAAGGAACGGCUAAAUACGUGCCAGCAGCCGCGGUAAUACGUAUGUUCCAAGCGUUAUCCGGAUUUAUUGGGCGUAAAGCGAGCGCAGACGGUUAUUUAAGUCUGAAGUGAAAGCCCUCAGCUCAACUGAGGAAUGGCUUUGGAAACUGGAUGACUUGAGUGCAGUAGAGGAAAGUGGAACUCCAUGUGUAGCGGUGAAA
rnacentral:rRNA from 1 species